rnacentral:rRNA from 1 species
CCUACGGGGGGCAGCAGUGGGGGAUAUUGCACAAUGGGGGAAACCCUGAUGCAGCGACGCCGCGUGAGUGAUGAAGUCCUUCGGUAUGUAAAGCUCUAUCAGCAGGGAAGAAAAUGACGGUACCUGACUAAGAAGCCACGGCUAACUACGUGCCAGCAGCCGCGGUAAUACGUAGGGGGCAAGCGUUAUCCGGAUUUACUGGGGGUAAAGGGAGCGUAGGCGGCAGUGCAAGUCUGAUGUGAAAGGCAAGGGCUCAACCCGAGGGCUGCUUUGGAAACUGGGCUGCUGGAGUGUCGGAGAGGCAAGUGGAAUUCCUAGUGUAGCGGUGAAAUGCGUAGAGAUUAGGAGGAACACCAGUGGCGAAGGCGGCUUGCUGGACGAUGACUGACGUUGAGGCUCGAAAGCGUGGGGAGCAAACAGGAUUAGAUACCCGAGUAGUC